rnacentral:misc_RNA from 1 species
CCGAGUUUACAACUCCCAAACCCCUGUGAACAUACCAAUUGUUGCCUCGGCGGAUCAGCCCGCUCCCGGUAAAACGGGACGGCCCGCCAGAGGACCCCUAAACUCUGUUUCUAUACGUAACUUCUGAGUAAAACCAUAAAUAAAUCA